rnacentral:rRNA from 1 species
AGAGUUUGAUCCUGGCUCAGAUUGAACGCUGGCGGCAUGCCUUACGCAUGCAAGUCGAACGGCAGCACGAGAGCUUGCUCUUGGUGGCGAGUGGCGAACGGGUGAGUAAUAUAUCGGAACGUACCCUAGAGUGGGGGAUAACGUAGCGAAAGUUACGCUAAUACCGCAUACGAUCUACGGAUGAAAGUGGGGGAUCGCAAGACCUCAUGCUCAUGGAGCGGCCGAUAUCUGAUUAGCUAGUUGGUGGGGUAAAAGCUCACCAAGGCGACGAUCAGUAGCUGGUCUGAGAGGACGACCAGCCACACUGGAACUGAGACACGGUCCAGACUCCUACGGGAGGCAGCAGUGGGGAAUUUUGGACAAUGGGCGCAAGCCUGAUCCAGCAAUGCCGCGUGAGUGAAGAAGGCCUUCGGGUUGUAAAGCUCUUUUGUCAGGGAAGAAACGGUGGACUCUAAUACAGAUCACUAAUGACGGUACCUGAAGAAUAAGCACCGGCUAACUACGUGCCAGCAGCCGCGGUAAUACGUAGGGUGCAAGCGUUAAUCGGAAUUACUGGGCGUAAAGCGUGCGCAGGCGGUUGUGCAAGACAGAUGUGAAAUCCCCGGGCUCAACCUGGGAAUUGCAUUUGUGACUGCACGGCUAGAGUGUGUCAGAGGGGGGUAGAAUUCCACGUGUAGCAGUGAAAUGCGUAGAGAUGUGGAGGAAUACCGAUGGCGAAGGCAGCCCCCUGGGAUAACACUGACGCUCAUGCACGAAAGCGUGGGGAGCAAACAGGAUUAGAUACCCUGGUAGUCCACGCCCUAAACGAUGUCUACUAGUUGUCGGGUCUUAAUUGACUUGGUAACGCAGCUAACGCGUGAAGUAGACCGCCUGGGGAGUACGGUCGCAAGAUUAAAACUCAAAGGAAUUGACGGGGACCCGCACAAGCGGUGGAUGAUGUGGAUUAAUUCGAUGCAACGCGAAAAACCUUACCUACCCUUGACAUGUCUGGAAUCCUUGAGAGAUCAGGGAGUGCUCGAAAGAGAAUCAGAACACAGGUGCUGCAUGGCUGUCGUCAGCUCGUGUCGUGAGAUGUUGGGUUAAGUCCCGCAACGAGCGCAACCCUUGUCAUUAGUUGCUACGAAAGGGCACUCUAAUGAGACUGCCGGUGACAAACCGGAGGAAGGUGGGGAUGACGUCAGGUCCUCAUGGCCCUUAUGGGUAGGGCUUCACACGUCAUACAAUGGUACAUACAGAGGGCCGCCAACCCGCGAGGGGGAGCUAAUCCCAGAAAGUGUAUCGUAGUCCGGAUUGUAGUCUGCAACUCGACUACAUGAAGUUGGAAUCGCUAGUAAUCGCGGAUCAGCAUGUCGCGGUGAAUACGUUCCCGGGUCUUGUACACACCGCCCGUCACACCAUGGGAGCGGGUUUCACCAGAAGUGGGUAGCCUAACCGCAAGGAGGGCGCUCACCACGGUGGGAUUCGUGACUGGGGUGAAGUCGUAACAAGGUA